rnacentral:lncRNA from 10 species
CACACGGUGGCCACAGGUGGAGCUGCCUGCCAGUCCCAAGCCCUGAGCCCGCACUCCUCAGCCUUUGGGUGGUCCAUGGGACUGGGUGCCAUGGAGCAGGGGGCGGGGCUCGUCCGGGAGGCUCCAGGGGCACAGCAGCCCACGGCAGGUGGCGGUGAGGCUCAGGCAUGGCGGGCUGCAGGUCCCAAGCCCUGCCCCGCAAGGAGGAGCUAAGGCCCUGCGAGAAAAGGAGGCAGCUAAGGCCCGGUGAGAAGUCGAGCACAGCAGCUGCUGGCCCAGGGGCUAAGCCCCUUACUGCCCGGCUGGCGGGGCCGGCUGGCUGCUCCGAGUGUGGGGGCCCGCCGAGCCCACGCCCAUCCAGAGCUCACGCUGGCUCACAAGCGGCACGCACAGCCCCGGUUCCCGCCUACGCCUCUCCCUCCUCACAUCCGGGCAAGCUGAGGGAGCCGGCUCCGGCCUUGGCCAGCCCAGGAAGGGGCUCCCCCAGUGCAGCCGCCGGCUGAAGGGCUCCCCAAGUGCCGCCAGAGUGGGCGCGGAGGCCGAAGAGGCACCGAGAGCGAGCGAGGGCUGUGAGGGCCGCCAGCAAGCUGUCACCUCUCAGUACCGCACAGGUAGUUUUUCAAUCUUCACCCUCCCAUCCUCUGCCCUCAAGUAGGCCCCAGUGUCUGUUGUUCCCUUCUUUGUGUUCUUCUGUACUCAGUGUUUAGCUCCCAUUUAUAAAUGAGAACAUGUGGUAUUUGGUUUUCUGUUCCUAUGUUAGUUCGCUUAGGAUAAUAGCCUCCAGCUUCAUCCAUGUUGCUGCCAAGGACAUGAUCUCAUUUUUUUAUGGCUGUUUCGUAUUUCAGGGUAUAUAUGCACCAUAUUUUCUUUAUCCAGUUUACCAUUGAUGGUUGUAUAGAUUGAUCCUAUGUCUUUGUAAAGGAAUUUCUUGUGACAAAAAAUACAAUACACUCUGAUAGUGAACGUUGAAGUUUUCAUUCCAAAGGAAGAGGAAGUUAUCUGACAAAUGCCAUCGGAUAUUUCCCUACCCUUAAUUUUUUCUUCAGGAAAAGAAGAAGAUACUACUGGAAGGAAGAGACAAAUACAGCUCUAAAAAAUUUUGCUAAUAACAUAGUUUCUGGUUCUGAGGCAGGCCUCUUUUCUCUGCUUCAUCUAUCCAUUGGAAUUUGACAAAAGCAUUUUUGUGAUGAUGUUAGAAGUUUGGCACAGAGAGAGAACUCAAAAAUCUAGUGGGUUAUUUUGUUAAAAUUACCAAAAUGGAUUAGAUUUCAUACUAUAGGCUAUGUAAACAUCUGUGAGGCAUGAUCUCGGAACACAGGACCAUCUUUAAACGGGUGUUUCAACCCAAUGUGCCUACUCUCGUAGGUGGGUAUGAUCUGUUUCCCUUAAGUCGUGAGAAGAUCCAUCUGUUCUAUAAAGACUUCUAAAAGAUAAACGAUCUGAAAAGUAGAAAUUUCAGAAUUUUUAUAGGCAUGUGUGGGCCAUUGCGCUUUAU